rnacentral:tRNA from 1 species
GCGGAUGUGGCGCAGUUGGCAGCGCAUCACCUUGCCAUGGUGAGGGUCGCCAGUUCGAACCUGGUCAUCCGCUCCA